CAAUGUUCUCAGGGCGGGGUGAAAGUCCCCACCGGCGGUGAUGGUACCUUUCCUAACGAAAGCGGCCUAAGCCCGCGAGCGCUCUCACUGGUCUGCCCGUGAGAGGUCAGCAGAUUCGGUGAGAAACCGAAGCCGACGGUGAUAGUCCGGAUGAAAGAGAACGGUA
rnacentral:ncRNA from 2 species